rnacentral:piRNA from 1 species
UGGCUGAUCAAAUGAGAAUUG